rnacentral:misc_RNA from 1 species
UCCGGCUUAUCACCGGCAGUCCCACUAGAGUGCCCAACUGAAUGAUGGCAACUAAUGGCGAGGGUUGCGCUCGUUGCGGGACUUAACCCAACAUCUCACGACACGAGCUGACGACAGCCAUGCAGCACCUGUGUGCAGGUCCCCGAAGGGAAAGAAUCCAUCUCUGGAAACCGUCCUGCCAUGUCAAGGGCUGGUAAGGUUCUUCGCGUUGCUUCGAAUUAAACCGCAUGCUCCGCCGCUUGUGCGGGCCCCCGUCAAUUCCUUUGAGUUUCAGCCUUGUGGCCGUACUCCCCAGGUGGAUCACUUAAUGCUUUCGCUCGGACGCGUACAGUGUAUCGCACACAUCGAGUGAUCAUCGUUUAGGGCGUGGACUAC